UAUUCAUAUCGGCUGGAUCAUCAAGUCUGUUUAGAUCAAGAUCCAGUACGCCACAGGGAUUUGUGGGAUUGGCAAAUCUUUGGGAAGGCAGAUCUUCAAGAACUCUUUCAUCCGGUACAUUUAGGUCGAAGUCCAAGAAUGUCUUUGUUUGCUUGCCAGCGGUUGUAGAAGCAUCACAGGAAGCCACAUUAUUCAUGCUUAGUGGCACCACCUCUUGGACUUUUCUUGGCUCAGCUGGUCGGAAGGCGCUAGUGGCAGCAGAUCCUCUCCACCCAACAGCUGGUUUAUUUCUCAACAGAUCAUCACGCGGAACAAAAGCACCCUUUGCAGCAGCAGCAACUGUAAUGGAUGCAGGAGGUCGACUGGUUUGUAAAGGAGUAGAUGUCAAAGACAACGAUCCAGAGAAGUUACUUGAAUUCUCCUUUCGUGUGUCAUCCCCACUGAAAGCUUCAUUUAGGUCAAAUUUAACUCCGGCUUCCAGCUCUGACCCUGCUAAAGCUGAAACUGAGGGAAGAUCUUUGGCAGCAGAGGUAAAUUCCUCUGUUUCAUGCCCAUCAGCACAUGUUGUCGUGGCGCACUGUUUUCCGACUUCAGCACUCUUUAGAGACGCCUCCACAUGCUCAACUUCAAUCUUAGUUACAGAUGAAUCCAGAUGAGCUGUCACAGGCUUGUUCUUUUUAUCUGUCUGGUUCACAUGAUUAAUCCCCACGUCCAUCUUUUCUGCAGCUAUGCCCUUGGAGAGCUUGGACGAAACAGUUACAUCUUCAGCCGUUUCUUUAUCCAAUUCAGAACUCAAGACUACCGGGGGUUUAUGCUCUUCCUUGUUAUCAGAGUGUGAAUUUGCAACAACCAAGGAUUCUACUUUGGGACAUAAUACGAUGGCUUUACAUUCAGCUGGCGCAGAAGUUUCCACUGAUGUACAAGCAGCCUUUCGAUCGUUAGCUGUUCCACCACAAUCAUUAUCAUCAGACAAUUUCUCUGGCAUCGAUCUAUCAACAUUUUCAGUACUCCUAUCCUUGGCAAACUCUGACAAAACUGAAACCACUUCACCCAUUUUAUUAACUAGCUCAGAACUUAAUAUCACCUUUGGUUUAUCUUCCACCUGAGCACCACCAGCAGCCUCCAAGUGUGAAUCUUCAGCAGUCAAAGAAUCUGCAUUUUGACUUUUGCCAAUGGUUUUACAUAUACGUAAGGCAGAGUUUCCUGUCCUCAUCACUGUAUCUGCCACUCCAUCUGUCUCUGAUAUCUCUUCAGUCUUUUGGUCACUAACUACCCCACUAUCACCAUCAUCAGAAAUGUUUCCCCCAAUGCCUGAUGUGUGCCCAGCGGUUGGGGCAAUAUCAUCUGAAUUUUCAUUGCUUUCUAGGCACUGAUCCACCAAUCUUUGCAACUCUUCGAUUUCUGAAUCGGAGUUAUCAUCAAGAUCUCCCGGCUUAGAAUCAUUUUCAUUCUCUACAACGGCCAACUGCUCGCCACUACUACUGACAUGUUCAACAAUGGUGGGAUUCACAUUCUCAGCUUGCUCGCUAGGCAUGCCAUCCAAAGAAUCUGAAACCCGAGAUACCGAGGGUGAUGCAACAGGGGAUUUGGACAUUUCAUCAGCAGCAACAGUAGCUAGAAGAUUCAUUCCAACAUCAUCUGCACCAGCCACACAUGCAUUCGCCUCAGAGUCCCUGACACAACUUUCAAUCAAAGCAUUCAUUAAGCUGUGUGAUUCACCAUGUCCUUUUCCAGUUUUGACAUCAUCUCCUGAGGUAGGAGACGUGGGCUUGACAAUAUCUUCUAUUUUACUAGACUCAUUAACAGCCUUCUCGUGCCCAUCACCACGUUCACCACAUUUAGGCAGCUUAACCAUCAACUUAUUGCUACAACCUUCAGCUUUCUCAAAAGUUACAGUUCUUUGUGAUGAGAUGCUCCUGCUCAGCCCAACUUCUGCGUGGACUGCAACAGUAUUUCUUUGCUGCCCAACGUUAGCAACAGCAACACCUGUUCCAGGUGAUGGGGCUGAUCUAGUAGAACUUGGAGAGGUGGUUGCAGACUUCACGCUGUUAUCUGAAAUACCGGACACGGACUUAAAAGGAUGCAGAGGAGAUACUGAUGUCUUGGUUGCAUCAAAGGAUACAACUGAGUGUCUACUGCCAUGGGAAACUUCAGACUGACGAGGUCUUCCAGGCUUGGCAUCCAUUUCUGCCUCAACACGUUUCUUCCAUGUAUCAACCAAGCUCCUUGCCUUUUUCCCAAUUUCUGAGUUCUUAUGUGAUCGCAAUCGAUUAACAGACUUCCCAAUGUUGCAAGUCUGAAGAGCAUUGAGAUUCACAGGCAGCUUGUCAAGAGCACGUAGUAAAAUCAAAAGAAACUCGUCCACUGAUCUAUCAUUGUCUUUGGGACUGCUCCCAUCCCCAAUUUUCCUUCUAUGAAUCUCCUGUAGCCACUCAUCAAAAACAGAUAAACCCCUCAGCUGGACGAAACGACUGAGACAGUCAAACUUGUCUGUUGCAGCUACAGCACUUGCAAGAAUGGACCGCCCAAUCAAAUCUGUCUUCUUCUCAUUCUUCUCAGGUAGCAUGAGCUGUACCAAUUUCUCAACCCCUUCAGAAUCCACUAGCCUGCCUCUCUCAGUAAUUUUUGCAAUCUCAGACUUCAAACUGCUUUCUUUUCUUACAAAACCAGAACCGCUAUCAUCAACCCGGCUCGGACGUUCCCUUUUCACAGAUUCAGAACCCUGAUCACCACGCUCUCUCUUCCUUCCCUUGCCCUGUGAAGAAGAGGAGCUACUGUUCUGCAUACCUUCUGUUCCUGUUUUCACUUGAGAUGUUGUUAACCUAGGAGAACAACCACACUGCUGUAAACUCUUACACAAUAAGUUAUCUACUUCUUGUUGACGUUCCUGCAUAAAAAAAAAAGACUUGUCAAAACCAGAGAAGAAACAGAAUUGGAUAAUAAUGAAUUAUGAUCUCACUCACUCACAUCGAUAUAAUCUUGAUCAGUGAGCCACCAAAUAGACUCGUUCAUAACAUCAUAAACCCUCCAGCAAACAAACGAAGAGAUUCCAGAUGGGAGUUCAACGCCUUUGGGAAGAAAGGUAACUUUACACGGAUGAAGCAAAGACGCAGCAGGUAUCUCAUCCUCGUGAAAGGAGUAGAAGACUUCGUUAGGCUGAGCCUCCAAAAGGACGCCCUUGCCAAGCUUCAACUCACCGGGUCGAUACAGCCAAUUCACACGAACCUUAAAGCUGCCUCCUUCUCGUUCCGGAACCAGCAAACGGAUCAAACCAACGAACGGUGGACAAUCCUGAGGCGGCUUGAACAGAGCACAGUCACCAACACUAAUCCUCCUCCCGUCCUGCGAAAAAAAAGAUCAAAACUUUAAAUCAAAUCGGAACCAAUCAAAGCCAGUUGACACGAAUCAAGUUACCUUAGAGAACGAAGAAGGUGAAGAAAGAGAGAGAGACGAAGAAGAAGAAGCGGUUGAGAUUAGACGCGAAGGAGGUCUAAACAUAAGCAGACGACGAUGACCUUUCUCCCUCCCAUGCAUAGCCGUCUCUCAUUUUUUCCCCUUUCGAAUCAAAACAAACACAAUUUCGUCUUCCUUUUCAGAAUUGGUUUUCGAUUACAAUUGAAAAAAAAAAACCCUAAUUGAGAUUAAAAGAAGAAGAUGCGAUUCCUUAGGGAUUGAUUUUUGAAAUCGAGUACCUGAUCCAAUCAACCCGCGAAGAUCCAACAGCGAGAAGAAGCAGAAACCCCCGUAGAGUGCGAGAGAGAUUGAACACGAAUCGAAAGCACGCCCUUGUUUGUUUUUCGAUCCAGCGAAGAAGAAGAAGAAGAAAAAAUAAAAUCGAGAGAAAGAGAAGAGAUGAAGGCAAAAGGGGGGUACUACGAGUCGGGGCAGUUCGGGCAUGUGUUUCGGGCAGCGUUUUUAUUUAUUUUGUUUUUUGGUUUUCUGGUGACAUUUGAGUGUGUUUUCUUUUCUCCCCCCCCACCCCCCCUUUUAAUAGCUUUUUUGAUUUUCUAAUUUUUUCCUAAAUUUAAAACAAAACGAACUUCGUGAUUUAAAAAAAAAAAUUAUUUGGGUUAAACACAAAAAAAAGUCUGAUCAUUUAUAAAAUCAAACGAAAUUUAGGAUCAUUUUCAAUCAAUAAACUCGAAAAGUAAAAUGUGAGUUUCACUCUCGUUUUGUUUCAUAAAAAAUGUCUUCUGAAAAAAAUUCACGUGUAUUAAAAAAUUAAUUAGAAACUCUAUUUUUUCCGUUGACACACUAAAUUCUUUUUUUAUUUAAUACACUAUUACAUUAAGAUUAAAAAUGAACAUUUAUUUAAAAUUUUGUAUUGAAAACACAAUAAAACACACUUUUUGAAACAAAAAAAAACUCUAAGACACACUUCUCAAGAAACAGAAGAAGUAUUAUCUAAUAUUUAUAGAAGAAAAUAUAACAUUCAUAUAAAAAUAGAAAAAAAAAUAUAUAAUAUAUUAGAGUAAAAUUUGCAUCUCCCAUAUCCUUAGAUUCAGAAAUAUCUGUGUAAAUUUUCUUACCAAAAAGGCAAGAAAUAGUGGAGUUUUUUUUCCAUGUAAAUCAGAUACAGUCGGAGGAAGCGUUUCUUCGGAACGUCUCAGCUCCUACUAACACUUGAUCUUAUAAAAUGGGUGUCGUAAAAAAAAUGGAGUAAAAUCUUUAUGUAUUUGAGAAAUUCUGUUUUAAGUGGAAAAAAACUAGAAGAGAGAUUAUCUAUAUAACAAGCAAAUUAAAAUUUUAAUCAUGAACAAGUUGUUUCUACAAGUUUACAAAACCGAUCAGUUUAUAUAAUAAUUUUUGUGAUUUGAUCCGGUUUAUUCUGGCUGAUUUCGGUUUGAAUGUGGUGACCUACCCUCCACAACAAGUUAUUUGCUUAUGAUUUUUAUGGGAGGAUCUUGUGGUUACAUUGUCCAGUGUCAAAUCACUGUCAUCAAAGUACAAGUGACCAAUCAUUGUCUCUCUUUGACACAGACAUUAACUUUUUUUACAAUGAGACUAAGAAGCUAUUUGAGUAGCUUCCAGUGACAUGUCUUCUUCACUCACCGAUAGCUCCAAAACAUGUUCUUCACAAGGCACAAAAUAUGUAGAACAUCUCAAAGAUUUUGAGACAGUAAGGUUAAGCUAACUGAAGGUUCCAUAUUUGCAUAGGUGACAAGACUAGUCAAAAUUGGCAAUUGGAGAUGGUGCAAAAGAUGUUAGGAAUGCUUCAAGAAGCAGAUAUAGGAGUUGGGAUCAGUGGAGUGGAAGCAAUGCAGGUUCUUUAAAGAAUCUUAGGACAACCAUUUGCACGGUUUUGUAUCAAGGUAUAAUGAAUCAUUCAAAUCAAAAAGAGCUGCGUAGUUUGCUGUAUAGUGGAGUUUCUUAACCCAAAGCCUUGCUUCGUUUGCUGUAACUGUUCCCUAUAUUGUACCAGGAAGUGGUACAAAAUCUCCCCUUUGGUUGUUACAUGGCUUCUGCAGCACAAUAACCAUUUUCUUCCUCUGCAAAACCUCUCUUGAAUCCCAAGCUUUCAACCACCAAGGGAAAACCGCAGGGGAGAGAGAGAUUUUUGGAGGAACUAUGUACACAUGUGGGUUGAGUUAGCAGAUGGUACAAUCAGUUACUACCUGUUAUUGCAAAUUUGCAAUAUAUGAGCCAUUUUGUUAUAACAGAGACAAAGUUCUGAAAUGUGGAUUCAAACAUAACUAACCACAAGUAAAAAAAAUCUACAAAAGAGUUGCUGCUGACUAUAUAAUACACAAACCAUGUCAGAUUUUACCAGUCUCAUACCAACAAUGACCAUCAUUUUUUCUUUUACAGCAGAGCUCCAAAAAAAAGAGAAAAAAAAAACAUAAACUAAACACUCGCUUGCAUCUCUAAAAGAGAUAAGGAACUAAGUUAGCGUCUGCUUUUAUCUUCAAGAGUACCUAAGAGCCAACAAAGAUUGAAUUAGAAACACAGUCAGCGAGAGAUAAUAUAAAGAAACAGAAGAUGGUAGAGCUGAAAGAAGAGAGUAAAAAUAUGCUUACAUGCUUAGUGCAACGGCCUACAAAGAGAUUCUGAGGUUUGUUAUUGCCAAGAGGGUUGCGUGUAUCCAUCCCAUCCACCACUGUCUGGUUCCUUCCUCUUGAGAGUACCACCAAACAUUUGAUACAUUCUUGCUUCAUCUUUCAAGGGUAAAGAACCAGAGGAAGAUAGCUGUCUUUGUACAAGUGCUGCUUCAUCUCUGCCAUCAGUUUCAUGCCCUCCUGGUCCAGAGUUCAAGUCAAGACCAGAUCUCAACCAUUUUGCAUUGUUGCUGUCCGAAACUCCACCAUUGCUGUUUGGGAGAUUAACGACAUAAGGCCUUGGGUAGUUAGAAGGGAUGGCAACUCCUGGACCCAAUAUUUGAGAGUUGACAGGAGGGAAGCAUAGCCUGCCACUUGAUGAAGAGUCCAUGUAUGGUGUUGAAGCACCUGAAAAAUUUGCUGAGGAAAGAGGAAAGCUGGAACCAAAAGGGAACCCAGGAUACUGAAAUGCUGAUGGUGGGAAUGAAACUGCUGGAGAAGACAGUAAAACAGGGCCUCUGUACAUAUCAGGUGUAUAUGAUGAAACUUCAGAUGUUGGACCAACCAUUCUCUGCAGUCCAUUGCCUCGUUCAGGCAAGACUUGAGGAAUACUCAUUGCUGAAUAAUUGUUAACAGCAGGAAACCAAGAUGAGAAGCCAGGCCUUAUUCCACUGAUCACUGGCUGUGCACUUCGGGAAUUUUGACUAAAACCCAGAGAUGACUCAGCGUUAACAUCAUCGACAGCAGGUCCAUCGUUUAAAUCAAAAUCCCUACUACCACCAGAAGAUAAGUUUGCCUGUUGAAAAGUUGAAUUCACUCGAUGAACACUGCUUAUUGUAUGAUUAUUCAUAUCAGCUGGAUCAUCAAGUCUGUUUAGAUCAAGAUCCAGCCCACCAGAGGAAUUUGUGGGAUUGGCAAAUCUUUGGGAAGGCAGAUCUUCAAGAACUCUUUCAUCCGGUACAUUUAGGUCGAAGUCCAAGAAUGUCUUUGUUUGCUUGCCAGCAGUUGUCGAAGCAUCACAGGAAGCCACAUUAUUUAUGUUUAGUGGCACCACCUCUUGGACUUUUCUUGGCUCAGGUGGCCGGAAG
rnacentral:lncRNA from 1 species